rnacentral:lncRNA from 1 species
CAGUUCAAGUGAAAGGCGCUCUCUUCUCUCAACAAUUAAAUGAAACCCUAAGUCACUCCUAAAAAUCAGAAGAUCCUCAAAUCUGAAAAUCGACGAAUAGAACGAUAAUGCAGAGAUAAAGUUGAUGUUGUGGCUGGUCGAUCUUCUUCCUUCAAAUAUGCAUAAUCCAACGAAAGAAAAUGUUGAUUUCAACUUCGAGCUUGGACUUGUGAGUGGCGAACAAUCUUCAACCUUCGACCUUCGAGAGGUGGAGGUUGAUUGGGGAGAGAUUCUGUAUAGACAGCUGAUUGGUGGAAUCGACGACUGGUGCCUUUUGCUGUCGGGUGAUUUUUUUCGAACUAAUUAGUUCUUAUAGUUGAUUCUUGGUGCGCUUGUGUAAAAAAUUUGAAUCUUCUUUUCUCGUUCAAAUGUAUUUUGCCUGAAGUGUAUAGCCAAACAAACCCUUAGAAUAAGGCUUCAAGGGAUGGAGAGAUUUGGACCGAACCGGCGUCUUUCGGAGUGUUCGUACUUUUCAAGCCUUCUUUUUCUCGAGGUCAGCUUCUCAUUUGCUCUCUAUUUUUUCAUAUCUACGAUUUCGUUAGUUUAGGCUAUAAGUUUUUUAGUGAAGUAUUACUAUGUUUCUGCUUUUUCAACUGCUACGCUGAUUUUGGAUUUCUCUGGACUUGUUCAGUUUCUUGAUUGGAUAUGGUUUAAUUUAGAUUACCCUUUAUUGGGAACGGUUGAAUUGGAAGCUUGAUUUGACUGUGCUCCUUUUGCUGAAUUUGAGAUUUAGUUUGGGUCUUAGGAAUACGAAAUUAUGAAUUAAAAAUUGGGUUUCUAAUUUCUUCUAAGAAUCAUAGUUUACGGGCUUAAAGAGGGGGAAAAAGAAUAUGCUCUGUGUUGUGCAAAGUGAAGUGUGAUUCUAUUUGAUUGACAAAAUAUGGGGAUUACAUAAAUUAAUUCUUUAGUUGUUCUAAAGGAUUUUCUUUUUCUUCAAUCAGAUGGGAGCUGUGGAAAGAAUGAGAUUUGAAGAGGUCCAUAAUAUUUUUGACACGAUAUGGCGAAGGGUUUCGCUAGAGACACAUUUGAAAAGAUCCCAAGGAUUACAAUUUGUAAAGAUGAAAAUGUUGAUGAUUAUGGGGCGAGACUCUCAUCUUCAGUUGUCUUCGGGUACCAUUAAUCACGAAUAAUAAUGUUUCCUAUAUUAAUCAAUUAAUUGAUUGCAAAUAAAACAUAAAAGACUACUUUGACUUUAUCAUUUCUACGUAUAAGGUUUCUUUAUUAGUUAUAUAAACCCUCAAUUAUACAAAUUUCCUAUGAGGAUAUAUGUAAUUUAGGUUUGAGCUUCAGUAAUUGAGUUUAUUCAUUGUACUUGGAUCAUAUUUUAAAUAAUGAAUUUUGGGAUAUUAGAGGGAUUUACUGAUUAUGUCAGUAAAAUAAUUUUCAACAUAUUAAUACAUAAACGUAGAUUUUGGAGUGAGAUUUUGUGAGAAGUCUUCAAAAGAAUGUUAGGCUGUUAUUAUUUCUUAAAUUUCGCAUAGACAGUUUUUUGUAGAUGUAAACUAUUUUUUCAUCUAUUUAACUCAUGGAAUCAGAAAUAGAUUAGUUUGAUGUCGGGUAAUUAUUUCAUGCACAAGAAACUUAUAUGGCAACAUCUGUUGGUUGAAUGAGGAGCAUCAUUGGAACCGUUAGCCAAAAAUGAAAUGUAAUUGGAAAAGAAAUUCAAGGAUAUAAUAUAGGAUGAAUAUGAGGGAGUGACAUCAAUAAAGAAUGGGAUACUCUUUUCUACGUCUUAUGCCAAUUUAAAUUGUAUAUUAUAUUAAUGACUACUUUUAUAUGUGUGUGUGUAUUAUUGUUUCUAACUCCGUUGAUAAGUAAGAUUCUCCCAUUGAUGCAUGUAAUUCAAUUUUUUCUUCCUGAACUGUAUAGUAAUAGACAGAAGAGAUCAAUGUUGCAUAGACUCAAUAGUUUGUUUACAAUAUUAUAAUACUUGUGUUUUCAAUGUCGUAGUUAGCCCUUAUCUUGGGCUGAUCAUAAUGUGCAGCAAGAGUACAUUCGAGGAAUCAAUUCCUCGAAUUUCAAUCACGAUAAACUGAAGAAAUAAGCUACUCUUGUAUGCUAUCAGUCCAUUGAUCAGUUGGUAAUAUGGAUUGCAUCAUUUGAACGCCACUUUAAUAAGUUGAGGUUUUCUCUGCAGAUUCAGGAUGAUGAUCUUUCUAAUUCAAAAAAUUCAAGUGUGAGUUGAAAGUAUAGGAAUGGGCAAGAUGACGCUGAUGCUCCUCCAGAGGGAAUGUCUACCGAUCAGGGCAUUCAUUCAAAUGUUGCACAAUAGCUGGAGGUAUAG